rnacentral:rRNA from 1 species
GAUGAACGCUAGCGGCAGGCUUAACACAUGCAAGUCGAGGGGUAUUGGUUUUCGGACCAAGAGACCGGCGCACGGGUGCGUAACGCGUAUGCAAUCUACCUUUUGCAGAGGGAUAGCCCCAGAGAAAUUUGGAUUAAUACCUCAUAGUAUAGUACUUUGGCAUCAAGGAACUAUUAAAGUCACAACGGCAAAGAUGAGCAUGCGUCCCAUUAGCUAGUUGGUAAGGUAACGGCUUACCAAGGCUACGAUGGGUAGGGGUCCUGAGAGGGAGAUCCCCCCACACUGGUACUGAGACACGGACCAGACUCCUACGGGAGGCAGCAGUGAGGAAUAUUGGACAAUGGGCGCAAGCCUGAUCCAGCCAUGCCGCGUGCAGGAUGACGGUCCUAUGGAUUGUAAACUGCUUUUAUACAGGAAGAAACACUACUUCGUGAAGUAGCUUGACGGUACUGUAAGAAUAAGGAUCGGCUAACUCCGUGCCAGCA